AAUUAAACUAAAAAAAAAAAAAACAAAAGAAAGGAAAGAAGAAAGCGCGGGGGGAGCUAGGGCUACCGUGUCUGUACCUAACACAAUGGCGGGAAAAAACGCACCCCUCAAGAAUUGGCGGGAAAAUCUCCUUAUUAUCAUCAUUUAGCGCGCGAAGCCAGUAUCACUCUAUACAGAUCUGAAACUAAAACACAAAAUUCAGAUCAGAAAAUGGUGGGACCGAUGUACGAUUUCGUCGCAAACCCUCUCGGAGCCGUCCGAUUAACAUUUGACAAGACAAUCGGAUCCGGAUCGGACCCGUCCUCCUUCGAUGGCAAAGAUUGGGGCGCCGUCGACCUCUUCCGCCACUUCCUCUUCGACCAAGCCCGCCUUUCCCAGGUUCCAAUUCUUAAUGGCGCAACAGUAAAUUGGAUUAAACCGAACACUCUAGUUCGGUUUCGGGGAAUGAUACAAGACAUGUUGGGAAAUGAAUUAUAUGUUGGUGCUUAUAAGGAUGGUUCAGUUUGGAGGACUAACAAAUUCAUGGAUAUCUCCCAAUGCCCCGUGGAACUUAAUUCGCCUAAUAUGCGUCUCUGGGAGCGUCGUUUAUUGUACUGUGUCCCGGUUCCGGGAUUAAAUUCGUGGGCUGAAUCUACUUCUGAGGUAGCGGUAAAUAUGUGCAUGGAUUCGACUUCUGAACAAAGAGAUAAGCGUAGCAGAAUGGACAUUGAAGCUGUGGAUCACAAUGAUUUUCCUGUCUCAGGUGAUGAAUCUGAAGAUUCUCCUAGUGCGAAAAGGAUGAGAGAGGAUCCCUCAUCCUCACAGUACCUGGAUCCUAAAAAUGAAGGGCCUUGUUCAAGCCAUGUUAUUCUUCCAGACGUUGAUAGAGAUUCUCUUCCUUGUCUAGUAAAGAUAUAUGAUUCUCCAGAGUCUGAGUUGAAGCUAAAUGAUGUUUUUGAAUUUGUCGGGGUCCUCACUUUUGAUUCUGAGCUUCUAUCAGAGAAGGUUGAUCAGGAUGAGUUCUCUAAUGGUCUUUGUGAUGACGUGUCUGUCAAUUUGCCACCCAACAAGGUGCCAUGCCUCCAUUGUGUUAUUCAUAGGAAACUCACGGUCUAUGACUUUCUGCAGAACUCCCCUCCGACAGAGCCAAAACCCCAUUUAGUCAAAGAGGCAAGGGAAGCACUGUUGAGGCAUCUCACUUCUAUUCUUGGCAAUGAUGGGGUAGCAGCUCAUUUCAUGUUGUUGCAUCUUCUGUCUAGGGUACAUGCCAGAGCAGAUAAUGUUGCUGUUGGGAAGCUUUCUUUGAACCUUACUUGUAUUAGCAAAGAGAUCGCAUCUGUAUUUGGCACUAGACUAAGUAUUGUCAUCAAGAAUCUUCUUCCCUUCACAAAAUGCAUACCCCUGACUGUGGAAUAUCUCAACACGGCUUCUCUUGCUCCCAAAAAGGAUUAUCAAAUAAAUAGACUGAUACCUGGAGUUCUACAGCUAGCUGAGGGCUCACACUUAAUUUUUGAUGAGACAUGUUUGGAAACAGGAACCCUCAAUUCUGCUGGGGUUGAGAACGCAAGGUUGCUAAAAGCCCUGACAGAGUUGCAAAAGGUUGAGUACGAUUUUAAGUAUUAUAAGAUGGAGAUGAUGGCUGAUGUCCAAAUGCUAAUAUUGUCAGAGGGGAAAUCAAACAUGUUGCCAGCUGAUAUAAUUAUGCCAUUCCAGCCUUCUUCGGCAGGUUCCUCAGAUGUUGUGCCUGCAGAAGUCCUGGAAGCUUGGAGAUGGUACUUGGCUACUGUUAGAUCUAUGCCUCAUUUGAUAGAGCCAGAUAUGCAGAAGGUGGUAGAAAAUGACUUGGUUACUGCUAGGCAAGCGGAUCGAAGCUUAGGCAGCCAAGACUUCAGCAGAUGGCUGACAAUGGGCCGCCUCAUUUCUGCCAGUUUUGGCGAGACCUCACUCUCAUUGGAGCACUGGCAAAUGGUAAAGGAGCUGGAGAGGCUAAGGAUAGAUAGGCUCAAGUGAAAUAUGCCUUUCAUGCUGGUACUCAAACAUGUAAAAACUAAAGGCAUUCUAAUAGUAAAUACUUCGCCUGCUUGUGGUUGCAAAACAAUGUCGUCACAGGAUUUCACCCAAUUUUAACCUGACCCUCCUCUUGCAGAGCUUGGAUUAGCGGGCAUUUCCUUGAUUACAUAAAAGAGGAAUCCAUCAAAAUUUAUGUGAUUGAGAAGGCUCUACAUUGGGAGUACCUUGUAUUUUAUUGAAGGUGUGAUAGAGAACACUUUCACCGGGUGUGGAACUCCUCAUGCUGAGCUAUGAAAUAGAAUCUGGGUGAUGGACAUUCUAUUCGGUUGGUUUGAUGUUUGGAUUCAGGGAGUAGAACUGCUGACUAAUCUUGCCUUGUCCCAUCUCCAUUUCCAUGAGAGCAGCAGUCCUGGAAGGUCUCUGCUUAUAUGGCUCUUUCUGGCAAUUGUUGUUGGGAUAUGCUUAAGGAUUUAUCAUCAAAUGCAGUUCGUUUAAAAAUCGCCGGCAUUCACCUACUCAAUCCAAAUUCCGGUGAAGACAGGAUUGUAUGGGGCCUUCCUAAUAAUGAUUGUCUUACGACCAAGUCUGCAUAUAAUUUCUUGUUAGGUACUAACAGAUGAAGAAAGUGUACUUUGUAACCUAAUCUGGAAGUGUUAGGACCCCAAACGGAAUCGUUCAUUUUUUAAUGCAAAUGGGAGAUUAUUGACUAA